rnacentral:rRNA from 1 species
GACGAACGCUGGCGGCGUGCUUUACACAUGCAAGUCGAACGAUGAAGCCGGAGCUUGCUCUGGUGAAUUAGUGGCGAACGGGUGAGUAACACGUGAGUAACCUGCCCUUGACUCUGGGAUAACUGCGGGAAACUGUAGCUAAUACCGGAUACGACCCUCGGAGGCAUCUCCUGGGGGUGGAAAGAAUUUCGGUCAAGGAUGGACUCGCGGCCUAUCAGCUAGUUGGUGGGGUAACGGCCUACCAAGGCUAUGACGGGUAGCUGGUGUGAGAGCAUGACCAGCCACAAUGGCACUGAGACACGGGCCAUACACCUACGGGUGACAGCAACUGGGAAUCGUCGGCAAUGGGCGAAAGCCUGACCGCGCGACGCCGCGUGAGGGAUGAAGUCUUUCGGGAUGUAAACCUCUUUUGCCAAGUUUUCAAGACUUGGAGAAUAAGCAUCUACUAACUACGUGCCAGCAGCCGCAGUAA